GGGGCCGUAGCUCAGCCUGGAUAGAGCAGCGGCCUCCGGAGCCGUAGGUCCCGGGUUCAAAUCCCGGCGGCCCCGCCA
rnacentral:tRNA from 1 species